UUUAAAUGUAAAAUUAAAAAUCAAAGGAAUAUUAGUUAAGAUCUUUAAAUUUAAAAAUUUUGGCGGUAUUUUAGUCUAUUUAGAGGAACCUGUUCUGUAAUUGAUAUUCCACGAUUAAAUAUACUUAAUUUAAUAGUUUGUAUAUCAUUGUUAUUAAAUAUUUUAUUAGAAUAUAAUGUUUAAGAAUUUUUAAGAGAAAAAAUUUCAAAUCAAGGUGCAGUUUAUAAUUAAGAAGAAAUGGGUUACAAUAAAUUUAUUUAAAUGAAUUUAUAUAUGAGAAAUAUAAUGAAGGUGGAUUUAAAAGUAAUAAGAUUAAUAUAAAUUUUAUGAUUUUAGCUCUAAAAUAUGU
rnacentral:rRNA from 1 species